UACUUAAUACUUAUUACCUGAUGGUUAAUUAAAAAAAAACUCCGUUUCAUUUCUAUUACUCACGUUUCUGUUCUUGUUACAAUUUAAGUGCGCAAACAAAUUAUUGAAAUUCACACGCUCUAAAUACCAGACAGUACUUGUAAUGUAUAAAGUAUAAAGUAAUUAUACAAAAAACAGAUUCUCUGUAAAUGACCGAGCCAAGUAAAUGUUUAUAAGAUGUAACACAGAAGCACAAUUUGAACGUGUACUUGCUUUAAAUUAACUCAGGAUUUCAUUUCUCGUAACUUUACCUUCAAAGCUGUAGUUAAAGUCAUAAAUCAUAAUAGUAAAUAGUUUCUUUACUUAGCUUGGGUUCUGUCGUUGUUUACGGCGUACCUCGGUUAUACAACUUCUGAGUAAGGGACAAACUUUAAACAGUUACCAUCACAAAGAAAGACCAACGGCUAGUUUACAACCAAAGUUCGUGGGAAGGAAAAAAUUCAAUUCUCUCAACUAUUUUCCUCAUACUUUACCUACACAAAUUCAUUCUUUACAAACCUCAUUUCAUUUUAGUACCUUUAAAAAAGCCUUACAAUAAAAAGAUUUCCGGGCUGCAAAUAAAUAAACAAAAAAUGUAUUAUUUUAAAUCUCAGAACCGAAGGAGUAGAGCUUACAAUUAGACAAAGAAAAUAGUGUAUCCGGGAUUGAUUGUAAUCGUACAUGAUUCAACGAAAACCGGAUGUCUGUACACUGUACGCGAGUGAAUUUCGUAAUAAUUGUCUUGGGUUUUCUGUUUCAUUUUUCAUUUUCAUUUAUAUUAAUUGCGCAAGCGAUCUCUUUUAAAUGAAGGUCUAAUCGGUGCUUGCCGAAACUUAAAUAAAGUGGCUAGUAUAAGCCGAGACAAUUAAAUUUCUUGAUAAUAAAGCGGCCUACUUACGUUACAUUAAACACAAAGUAAAGGUAGUGACUUUGUGAGUGCAGACAAAGAUUAUGAUUGCAUUGAGAUAAAAAGUCGGGUGUAUCGAGGCGACUGUCUUUGUAAAUUUAAAUAAUCGGCCAGCAAAUAUACCAACGAUUUGCGCAAACGUCUUGAUCGCAGGGAUAUCAGGCAAACAUGAGCUAAGUAUAAUAUAUAGCUCACUAUCACAGUGUUGUUAUAUAUUUAUAUACAUAUGUAUAAUAGCAGUGAGUCACGAGACGACAGUGAACAACUCUGUGAACGUGAAUGCGGAGUUUGUAACACGCGCAUGUUGUUGCGCGUGUCAGUUUUACCACUCGGGAAUAAAAGUUAGUAUAACUAACUAAUAUAAUGUUAUGUUACAACAAAGCAACAAUCACACGACAAUGAUAGUAAUAAGUCCGAUGUGUAACACUAAUAAUAAUAUUAAUUUAAGUUUAAGUAACGUCAAGGCCGCCCGAAAUUUCUCAAAUGUCUUCUGGAGGAACCUAAGCGUUAUGUUGCGUGCUAUGAUGAAUAUUUUGUUUAUUUAGCCUUAAAUUUUAGAUAGUGGGAGCAGAAUUAUGCCGAUGGGCAUGUAACGGUACUCAAUGAUUAGCACACUAACCAACAUAAAGUUUUUAGGCGGUAAGCUGACCGCAAAGGUUGCGUGGUUGACAUGAGCGUGAGCUUAGAGAAGAUAAUUGGUGAGGUGAAGAAUGAAGACAUAAUCGCGCAGACGUAUGAGUACAUGUAUUACCCGGAGAACAGAAUCAGAAUUUAAGUAACUUGAAUGGAGAGCAUAGUAUAGCAAAAGUAACUAAACGCAAAUAGAUAUUCAAGUUGGACGCGUGUCUUAAACCUGACCAUGCGCUUGUAUGUCAAUUAUUUGUUAUAUUUUUACCGCGCGACUUGCGCUCUACUUAUAAAGAGACAUGAUUAUGUCAACGGUCAUUAACCAUUAAUUCACUGUACACUUCAAUUCACUUAAUGUAACUCAUUACCAUUACUCGUGCUCAUAUGUAUAAACAUAUAACACAGACAUUAACGCAAGACUUAAAUCUAUUUACA